rnacentral:rRNA from 1 species
GAUGAACGCUGGCGGCGUGCCUAAUACAUGCCAGUCGAGCGAACAGACGAGGAGCUUGCUCCUCUGACGUUAGCGGCGGACGGGUGAGUAACACGUGGAUAACCUACCUAUAAGACUGGGAUAACUUCGGGAAACCGGAGCUAAUACCGGAUAAUAUAUUGAACCGCAUGGUUCAAUAGUGAAAGACGGUUUUGCUGUCACUUAUAGAUGGAUCCGCGCCGCAUUAGCUAGUUGGUAAGGUAACGGCUUACCAAGGCAACGAUGCGUAGCCGACCUGAGAGGGUGAUCGGCCACACUGGAACUGAGACACGGUCCAGACUCCUACGGGAGGCAGCAGUAGGGAAUCUUCCGCAAUGGGCGAAAGCCUGACGGAGCAACGCCGCGUGAGUGAUGAAGGUCUUCGGAUCGUAAAACUCUGUUAUUAGGAAAGAACAAAUGUGUAAGUAACUAUGCACGUCUUGACGGUACCUAAUCAGAAAGCCACGGCUAACUACGUG